rnacentral:rRNA from 1 species
UGAGCAACCUGCCCUUGACUCUGGGAUAACCCCGGGAAACCGGAGCUAAUACCGGAUACGAACCGCACAGGCAUCUGAGCGGUUGGAAAGAACUUCGGUCAAGGAUGGGCUCGCGGCCUAUCAGCUUGUUGGUGAGGUAACGGCCCACCAAGGCGACGACGGGUAGCCGGCCUAAGAGGGCGACCGGCCACACUGGGACUGAGACACGGCCCAGACCUCCGUACGGGAGGCAG